rnacentral:rRNA from 1 species
GGACGAACGCUGGCGGCGUGCCUAAUACAUGCAAGUCGAACGAGUCCUCCCAAUUUGAUUUUAUGCUUGCAUAAAUGAUUUUUGGAUUCGGGACGAGUGGCGAACUGGUGAGUAACACGUGGGUAACCUGCCCUAAAGCAGGGGAUAACAUUUGGAAACAGAUGCUAAUACCGUAUAAUUAGUUGGAACCACAUGGUUCCAACUUGAAAGAUGGCUCUGCUAUCACUUUAGGAUGGACCCGCGGCGUAUUAGCUAGUUGGUGAGAUAAAAGCUCACCAAGGCGAUGAUACGUAGCCGACCUGAGAGGGUAAUCGGCCACAUUGGGACUGAGACACGGCCCAGACUCCUACGGGAGGCAGCAGUAGGGAAUCUUCCACAAUGGACGAAAGUCUGAUGGAGCAACGCCGCGUGAGUGAAGAAGGGUUUCGGCUCGUAAAACUCUGUUGUUAAAGAAGAACAAGUGUAAGAGUAACUGUUUACGCUUUGACGGUAUUUAACCAGAAAGCCACGGCUAACUACGUGCCAGCAGCCGCGGUAAUACGUAGGUGGCAAGCGUUGUCCGGAUUUAUUGGGCGUAAAGCGAGCGCAGGUGGUCUUUUAAGUCUGUUGUGAAAGCCCUCAGCUCAACUGAGGAAGUGCAGCGGAAACUAGGAGACUUGAGUACAGAAGAGGAUAGUGGAACUCCAUGUGUAGCGGUGAAAUGCGUAGAUAUAUGGAAGAACACCAGUGGCGAAGGCGGCUAUCUGGUCUGUUACUGACACUGAGGCUCGAAAGCAUGGGUAGCGAACAGGAUUAGAUACCCUGGUAGUCCAUGCCGUAAACGAUGAAUACUAGGUGUUGGAGGGUUCCGCCCUUCAGUGCCGCAGCUAACGCAUUAAGUAUUCCGCCUGGGGAGUACGACCGCAAGGUUGAAACUCAAAGGAAUUGACGGGGGCCCGCACAAGUGGUGGAGCAUGUGGUUUAAUUCGAUGCUACGCGAAGAACCUUACCAGGUCUUGACAUCUUCUGCCAACCUAAGAGAUUAGGCGUUCCCUUCGGGGACAGAAUGACAGGUGGUGCAUGGUUGUCGUCAGCUCGUGUCGUGAGAUGUUGGGUUAAGUCCCGCAACGAGCGCAACCCUUAUUAUUAGUUGCCAGCAUUAAGUUGGGCACUCUAGUGAGACUGCCGGUGAUAAACCGGAGGAAGGUGGGGAUGACGUCAAAUCAUCAUGCCCCUUAUGACCUGGGCUACACACGUGCUACAAUGGAUGGUACAACGAGUCGCGAAACCGCGAGGUCAAGCUAAUCUCUUAAAGCCAUUCUCAGUUCGGAUUGCAGGCUGCAACUCGCCUGCAUGAAGUUGGAAUCACUAGUAAUCGUGGAUCAGCAUGCCACGGUGAAUACGUUCCCGGGCCUUGUACACACCGC